rnacentral:tRNA from 1 species
GGGGCGGUGGUCUAGCUUGGUCUAAGAUCCCGGUCUCGGGAGCCGGAGAUCGCGGGUUCAAAAAUGGCUUAAAGAGCCAUCUGAAAGUCCCGCCCGCCCCACCA